rnacentral:rRNA from 1 species
AAUAGAUACCCGAGGUAGUCCACGCCGGUAAACGAUGAGUGCUAAGUGUUAGGGGGUUUCCGCCCCUUAGUGCUGCAGCUAACGCAUUAAGCACUCCGCCUGGGGAGUACGGUCGCAAGACUGAAACUCAAAGGAAUUGACGGGGGCCCGCACAAGCGGUGGAGCAUGUGGUUUAAUUCGAAGCAACGCGAAGAACCUUACCAGGUCUUGACAUCCCAUUGACCACUAUGGAGACAUAGUUUUCCCUUCGGGGACAACGGUGACAGGUGGUGCAUGGUUGUCGUCAGCUCGUGUCGUGAGAUGUUGGGUUAAGUCCCGCAACGAGCGCAACCCUUGUUCUUAGUUGCCAUCAUUUAGUUGGGCACUCUAAGGAGACUGCCGGUGACAAACCGGAGGAAGGUGGGGAUGACGUCAAAUCAUCAUGCUCCUUAUGACCUGGGCUACACACGUGCUACAAUGGACGGUACAAACGGUUGCCAACCCGCGAGGGGGAGCUAAUCCGAUAAAACCGUUCUCAGUUCGGAUUGUAGGCUGCAACUCGCCUAC